GCAACGCCGUGUGAGGGAUGAAGGCUUUCGGGUCGUAAACCUCUGUCGGAAGGGAAGAACGGGCAUUGGUCUAAUAGGCCUUUGUUUUGACGGUACCUUUAGAGGAAGCACCGGCUAACUCCGUGCCAGCAGCCGCGGUAAUACGGAGGGUGCAAGCGUUAUUCGGAAUUACUGGGCGUAAAGCGCACGUAGGCGGCCUUGUAAGUCAGGGGUGAAAUCCCACGGCUCAACCGUGGAACUGCCUUUGAAACUGCAGGGCUUGAAUCCUGGAGAGGGUGGCGGAAUUCCUGGUGUAGGAGUGAAAUCCGUAGAUAUCAGGAGGAACACCGGUGGCGAAGGCGGCCACCUGGACAGGUAUUGACGCUGAGGUGCGAAAGUGUGGGGAGCAAACAGGAUUAGAUACCCUGGUAGUCCACACCGUAAACGAUGGAUACUAGGUGUCGGGGACUUGAUCUUCGGUGCCGUAGCUAACGCGUUAAGUAUCCCGCCU
rnacentral:rRNA from 1 species